rnacentral:tRNA from 1 species
GGCCCAUUAGCUCAGGUGGUAGAGCACGUGACUUUUAAUCACGGUGUCCGGGGUUCGAAUCCCCGAUGGACCACCA